GCUGUCAUUGUUUAAUUUUUAAAAUAAUACCUAAAAUGCUCCCAGUAACUUACAGAUGAUCCUUUCCUCAUUAGAAUAAUUACUAAAAACAAAACAAAACUUUGACUCUCAAAAUAGAAAUCUAUGUAAAUAGAGAAAGGGGAAGUUGAAAUCCACAAAAAUAACAUUAAGAAAGGACUACAAAUUCAAAGUGAGUUUAGAAUGAGGAAAACUAAAGAUCAGAACUAUGACUCAGGGUCUUCACUGAGGUUUCUGCUACUUCAUUUUAGCUCAGCUACGCUGAGUAUUUACAAGUGAAAUUUCCUUGAAGUGCAAAGACUUCAGACUUCUGGUCAACAGCUGCUACCCAAAAUAACUACGAGUAGUAAUAAGUGGUGUUUGUGGAGAGCUUCUACCCAAGGAAUCUAAAGACAUAUGCAAGGCCAACAAGUUAAUCAACAAGAAGCUGGUGGUUUUCUUACAACUCAUCUCUAGAGGAAAUCACGACAAAUGUGCCUUCACAGACCUGUUGUUGUGUCUCCAUGCAGUGACUGUUGCUCUGCUGUCCUUUUGCAGUGUUGCUGUGACACAGCCAAAGGAACCCAAAUAAAACAGAAACAUGAACCAAGACCUACUCAAAUCCAUCCAGGGGCCUAUGCUGGUGAAAGGGAAGUUGCUGAGGUCUCAGGAAUGCCACCAGAGGCUGAGCCUCAGGAGAACCCGAAUCAGAGAGUCCCAGUGUGGGAAGUGGGAAAAUUGUCCCGAAAAAUACUCAGGCCCUAAUCUUAUAUGGAAAAAGCUUCUAUCCAGAGGAGAUUAAAUUAAGGAUCUUGAGGUAAGGGAGACUUUCCCGGGUGACCUGGGUGAUUCCUAAAGCCAUUGUAGGUAAGAAGUAGGCAGAGGGAUUUGACUAUAGACCGAAGAGAAGAAGGCCCUGUGCUGGAAGGAGAGGGAGGCAGAGUCUGGGAGGGCCACUGCUGGGAGGCUGUUGGGCAUGAAGUGGAGAAAGGGCCAGGAGCAAGGAACGCAAGGAACACAAGGAACACAGCUCUGGAACCUGGAGAAGGAGAGAAACAGAUCAUUUGCAAAUCCCCAUGAAGGAGCACAGUCCUGCCGACAUCUUGGUUCUGCCCUGGUGAAACCCAUUUUAGAUUGGUGACUUCCAGAAUGGUAAGCUAUUAAAACUGUACUGGUUUAACCAUCAGGUUUGUGGGGAUUUGUUACAGCAGCCAUAGGAAACUAGCACACCAGGAACCGAGGCCAGCAGGGUCGGAGCGUGUGGGCCUCCCCCGCCACGCUGCUCCCCGGUUCGCCGACUCUGCUGCUCCUCCCCAUGCACCCCUACCUCCAUGGAUUUGCUUCGAAAAACCCCACGUUUACCUCCUGCCUUUCUUCAGCCUAGGAAUGUAGCCAAGAUGCACAAGGGAAAAUAACUCAAGUUUACAAGACACAGUUUUUUUUUCCAGCCAAUUUUAUAAGGCCAGGCCUCAGGCCCUCAUGCGUAGGUUAACCAGAGCUUUGUUGCCUCGGCGUCAGGUCCAAAGACAGCAGUGGCCACUUAGGGCUUUUCCUUGACCUGGGACUAGGCAGACAUGCUUUCGCAUUAGAGGUUGUGGGAGGCAAAGUCUAUUUCAUGCCUACACCAGUCACUUUUUAUGUUUUAUGUACUAAAGAAUUACCCACAACUUCCAGAAAGUGUUAAACAAUGUUCAGAAAGAGUAGUUGCAAGUUACUAAACCCCAACUCAAACUGGCCUAAGUAAAACCGGGACUUUCCCUGCUGGGUGGAUUCAGGACCAUAGUGAACCCCAGGCGCUGGACCAUGGUGUGCUGUGCCUCAGGUAUAGCCGGGCAGCCUCAGCAGGCGAGGCCCUUCUGCUUCUCCCUGAUCCCCCUGCCUCAUUCAUAGACAGAAUUCUUCACAUGCAAGGGACAGUCAUUUCUGAUAGUGCUCAAGAUUCACACCUUCCAAAUCCAGUCUCAGAAGAGGAGUUUCCCUGACACGUCCCCCAGCUCGGCAUCCAGGCUGGUGAAAAGGGACUUAGGUUCCGCAGUAGAUCAGGUGUCAGGGAAAAAUGAAGGAAGGAACGGCAGGAAGGAAGAAGAGGAGGAAGAAAGGAAGGGAGAGAGGAAAGGAAAGAAAUGAAGGAAGGAAAGAAAGAAGGAAGAAAGGAAAGAAGGAAAUAACAAAGUCCAAAAGGCUGGGGCCAAGAAAGAACAGGGCAGCCUGUGAGAUCCUUGAGUGGGAAGGUGGGGUUCCCUAGAGGUGAUGGGACUAGAGGGUGGUUUCUAGCUGCCUGGAGAGGGGAGGUGCUGGCUGUUUCAUCCAAACGUGCUCCUGGUUCAGCAUGCUUGCUUUACUACUGAUUUUAAAACUAUUUCUAAUGUAUCUGAGGGUCAUUAUGACAGUAAUAAUAAUAAUAACAAACACUUACAUGGAGGUUGCUGUGUGUCAGGAACUGUUUUGAGCAUUUCAUUUUAAAUUACUGAAACAAUUAUGAUAUACUGUGGAUAUUUGUCCCCAUGCAAAUCUCAUGCUAAAUUGUAAUCCCCAGUGCUGGAGGUAUAGGCUGGUGGGAGCUGUUUGAAUCAUGGGAGUGGAUCCCUCAUGGCUUGGUGCUAUCUUCAUGAUAGUGAGUGAGUUCUCAUGAGAUCUAGUUGUUUAAAUGUGUGUGGCACCUGCCCGCCCCUCCUCUCUCUCUUGCUCGUGUUUUCACAGUGGGAUAUUCUUGCUCCCCCUUUGCCUUCCACCAUGAUUGAAAGCUUCCUGAGACCUCAUCAGAAGUCAAGUGUAUUAGUCUGCUUUCACGCUGCUGAUAAAGACAUACCUGAGACUGGGUAAUUUACAAAAGAAAGAGGUUAAUUCGACUCACAGUUCCACAUGGCUGGGGAGGCCUCACAAUCCAGGCGGAAGGUAAAAGGCACGCAGCAGACAAGAGAGAAAAUGAGAAUCAAGUGAAACGGGUUUUCCCUUAUCGAACUAUCGGAUCUUGUGAGACUCAUCCACUACUAAAAGAACAGUAUGGGAGGAACCACCCCCAUGAUUCAAUUAUCUCCCACCAGUCCCACAACACUGGGAAUUCUGAGAGCUACCAUUCAAGAUGAGAUUUGGGUGGGAACACAGCCAAACCAUAUCACAAGUAUGCCUAGCACCAUGCUUUCUGUACAGACUGUAGAACUGUGAGCCAAUUAAAUCCCUUUGCUAUGCAUUACCCAGUCUCAGGUGUUUCUUUGUAGCAAUCCAAG
rnacentral:lncRNA from 1 species